UAUCGUGCUAUGCUUAAGACAAUACGUAAAACAGAGGAAAACUAUCAAGAUGAUUCCCACAUUAUCUUUAUCAUACUAGUAAUGAAUAGUAAUGAGGGGUACAAAGAUAAUGCAUAACACAUUAGUUAAAUAAAUUAUUUUUAGUAAAACCUACAUUUAGAUUGUUUAUCCAACGGUUUUCUCAUUUUCAUGUCAACGUAUUUUUGUAGAAACAAUUUUGCAAUUUGCAUGCUAUUACAUCCCUGUUUGCACAUGUGCCUUACACAUUAUUUUUUCUUCAUAGGAGAGUGAUCUACGUUAUUUGAUAGAGAACAUAUGGGCUGGUCAGAGUGCUGUGAGUGGUGAGAAGGAUCUAUUUGAGUUGAUACUAGUUCAUUGGAAUAUCACUGAACACUGGAGCCCAUGGAACUGUAUAUUAUUGACAACUGAUGAAGCUAGGGCUCAUGUUAAACUGGAUGACCCAGAAAAGGCUUACAGUUCACAGUUUACAGAUAAGAUAAGACAAAGGCACAUAUUAGCAAGGAAUUAUUUCACACAGAUACCAGGAAUGAUGGAGGAAAUGUCAACUAAAGUCAAAGAACUACCUCUACCUCGUCCUAAAGAAAGAAUCAUUGUAGUUAGACAACACCCACAGGAACAACAACAGCAACAAUUAGCAGUAGAUUCUAACUAAGAUAUACAUACAUAUACAUCUACAAUGUAUAAACAAUAAUGUUUUUUUCUUUAAUAUGAGAUGUGGGAUGUUGUGAUCAAUAAUUAUUGUACAUGU